GACGAACGCUGGCGGCGUGCUUAACACAUGCAAGUCGAACGAUGAAGCGGGUGCUUGCACUCGUGGAUUAGUGGCGAACGGGCGAGUAACACGUGAGUAACCUGUCCUUUUCUUUGGGAUAACGGCUGGAAACGGCUGCUAAUACUGGAUAUUCAGGCUGCAUCGCAUGGUGUGGUUUGGAAAGGUUUUUUCUGGGAUUGGGUGGGCUCGCGGCCUAUCAGCUUGUUGGUGGGGUGAUGGCUUACCAAGGCUUUGACGGGUAGCCGGCCUGAGAGGGUGGUCGGUCGCACUGGGACUGAGAUACGGCCCAGACUCCUACGGGAGGCAGCAGUGGGGAAUAUUGCACAAUGGACGAAAGUUUGAUGCAGCGACGCCGCGUGGAGGGUGUAGGCCUUCGGGUUGUGAACUCCUUUUUCUCGCGAAAAAGGCACAGUGUUGGCUGUGUUGAUGGUAGUGGGGGAAGAAGCGCCGGCUAACUACGU
rnacentral:rRNA from 1 species